GAUGAACGCUGGCGGCGUGCUUAACACAUGCAAGUCGAACGAAGCACUUUACUUGAUCUUUUCGGAGUGAUUGUUUUGUGACUGAGUGGCGGACGGGUGAGUAACGCGUGGGUAACCUGCCUCACACAGGGGGAUAACAGUUGGAAACGGCUGCUAAUACCGCAUAAGCGCACAGUACCGCAUGGUAUGGUGUGAAAAACUCCGGUGGUGUGAGAUGGACCCGCGUCUGAUUAGCUAGUUGGCAGGGUAGCGGCCUACCAAGGCGACGAUCAGUAGCCGACCUGAGAGGGUGACCGGCACAUUGGGACUGAGACACGGCCCAAACUCCUACGGGAGGCAGCAGUGGGGAAUAUU
rnacentral:rRNA from 1 species